ensembl:lncRNA
AUGAAUAAUGUGGAAAUUGAGCAAGUUGAGGUGACUAAACUGCUUGGAGUAACCCUCGAUGGUAAACUGUCAUGGUCAAAGCAUACUGAUACAACAGUAGCUAAGAUGGGGAGAAGUCUGUCCAUAAUAAAGUGCUACUCUGCCUUCUUAACAACACUAUCAACAAGGCAGGUCCUACAGGCCCUAGUUUCUACCUUCUUAACAACGCUAUCAACAAGGCAGGUCCUACAGGCCCUAGUUUCUACCUUCUUAACAACGCUAUCAACAAGGCAGGUCCUACAGGCCAUAGUUUCUACCUUCUUAACAGCACUAUCAACAAGGCAGGUCCUACAGGCCCUAGUUUCUACCUUCUUAACAACGCUAUCAACAAGGCAGGUCCUACAGGCCCUAGUUUCUACCUUCUUAACAACGCUAUCAACAAGGCAGGUCCUACAGGCCCUAGUUUCUACCUUCUUAACAACACUAUCAACAAGGCAGGUCCUACAGACCCUAGUUUCUACCUUCUUAACAACGCUAUCAACAAGGCAGGUCCUACAGGCCCUAGUUUCUACCUUCUUAACAACACUAUCAACAAGGCAGGUCCUACAGACCCUAGUUUCUACCUUCUUAACAACGCUAUCAACAAGGCAGGUCCUACAGACCCUAGUUUCUACCUUCUUAACAACACUAUCAACAAGGCAGGUCCUACAGGCCCUAGUUUCUACCUUCUUAACAACACUAUCAACAAGGCAGGUCCUACAGGCCCUAGUUUCUACCUUCUUAACAACACUAUCAACAAGGCAGGUCCUACAGGUCCUAGUUUCUACCUUCUUAACAACGCUAUCAACAAGGCAGGUCCUACAGGCCCUAGUUUCUACCUUCUUAACAACACUAUCAACAAGGCAGGUCCUACAGGCCCUAGUUUCUACCUUCUUAACAACACUAUCAACAAGGCAGGUCCUACAGGCCCUAGUUUCUACCUUCUUAACAACGCUAUCAACAAGGCAGGUCCUACAGGCUCUAGUUUCUACCUUCUUAACAACACUAUCAACAAGGCAGGUCCUACAGGCCCUAGUUUCUACCUUCUUAACAACACUAUCAACAAGGCAGGUCCUACAGGCCCUAGUUUCUACCUUCUUAACAACACUAUCAACAAGGCAGGUCCUACAGGCCCUAGUUUCUACCUUCUUAACAACACUAUCAACAAGGCAGGUCCUACAGGCUCUAGUUUCUACCUUCUUAACAGCACUAUCAACAAGGCAGGUCCUACAGGCCCUAGUUUCUACCUUCUUAACAACACUAUCAACAAGGCAGGUCCUACAGGCUCUAGUUUCUACCUUCUUAACAACACUAUCAACAAGGCAGAUCCUACAGGCUCUAGUUUCUACCUUCUUAACAACACUAUCAACAAGGCAGAUCCUACAGGCCCUAGUUUCUACCUUCUUAACAACACUAUCAACAAGGCAGAUCCUACAGGCCCUAGUUUCUACCUUCUUAACAACACUAUCAACAAGGCAGGUCCUACAGGCUCUAGUUUCUACCUUCUUAACAACACUAUCAACAAGGCAGGUCCUACAGGCUCUAGUUUCUACCUUCUUAACAGCACUAUCAACAAGGCAGGUCCUACAGGCCCUAGUUUCUACCUUCUUAACAACACUAUCAACAAGGCAGGUCCUACAGGUCCUAGUUUCUACCUUCUUAACAGCACUAUCAACAAGGCAGGUCCUACAGGCUCUAGUUUCUACCUUCUUAACAACACUAUCAACAAGGCAGAUCCUACCAGCCCUAGUUUCUACCUUCUUAACAACGCUAUCAACAAGGCAGGUCCUACAGGCUCUAGUUUCUACCUUCUUAACAACACUAUCAACAAGGCAGGUCCUACAGGCCCUAGUUUCUACCUUCUUAACAACACUAUCAACAAGGCAGGUCCUACAGGCCCUAGUUUCUACCUUCUUAACAGCACUAUCAACAAGGCAGGUCCUACAGGCCCUAGUUUCUACCUUCUUAACAACACUAUCAACAAGGCAGGUCCUACAGGCCCUAGUUUCUACCUUCUUAACAGCACUAUCAACAAGGCAGGUCCUACAGGCCCUAGUUUCUACCUUCUUAACAACACUAUCAACAAGGCAGGUCCUACAGGCCCUAGUUUCUACCUUCUUAACAACACUAUCAACAAGGCAGGUCCUACAGACCCUAGUUUCUACCUUCUUAACAACACUAUCAACAAGGCAGGUCCUACAGGCCCUAGUUUCUACCUUCUUAACAACACUAUCAACAAGGCAGGUCCCACAGGCCCUAGUUUCUACCUUCUUAACAACACUAUCAACAAGGCAGGUCCCACAGGUCCUAGUUUCUACCUUCUUAACAGCACUAUCAACAAGGCAGGUCCUACAGGCCCUAGUUUCUGCCUUCUUAACAACACUAUCAACAAGGCAGGUCCUACAGGCCCUAGUUUCUACCUUCUUAACAGCCCUAUCAACAAGGCAGGUCCUACAGGCCCUAGUUUCUACCUUCUUAACAACACUAUCAACAAGGCAGAUCCUACAGGCCCUAGUUUCUACCUUCUUAACAGCCCUAUCAACAAGGCAGGUCCUACAGGUCCUAGUUUCUACCUUCUUAACAACACUAUCAACAAGGCAGGUCCUACAGGCCCUAGUUUCUACCUUCUUAACAGCCCUAUCAACAAGGCAGGUCCUACAGGUCCUAGUUUCUACCUUCUUAACAACACUAUCAACAAGGCAGGUCCUACAGGUCCUAGUUUCUACCUUCUUAACAACACUAUCAACAAGGCAGGUCCUACAGGCCCUAGUUUCUACCUUCUUAACAACACUAUCAACAAGGCAGGUCCUACAGGCCCUAGUUUCUACCUUCUUAACAACACUAUCAACAAGGCAGGUCCUACAGGUCCUAGUUUCUACCUUCUUAACAACACUAUCAACAAGGCAGGUCCUACAGGUCCUAGUUUCUACCUUCUUAACAACACUAUCAACAAGGCUGGUCCUACAGGCCCUAGUUUCUACCUUCUUAACAACACUAUCAACAAGGCAGAUCCUACAGGCCCUAGUUUCUACCUUCUUAACAGCCCUAUCAACAAGGCAGGUCCUACAGGCCCUAGUUUCUACCUUCUUAACAACACUAUCAACAAGGCAGAUCCUACAGGCCCUAGUUUCUACCUUCUUAACAGCCCUAUCAACAAGGCAGGUCCUACAGGCCCUAGUUUCUACCUUCUUAACAACACUAUCAACAAGGCAGAUCCUACAGACCCUAGUUUCUACCUUCUUAACAGCCCUAUCAACAAGGCAGGUCCUACAGGCCCUAGUUUCUACCUUCUUAACAACACUAUCAACAAGGCAGAUCCUACAGGCCCUAGUUUCUACCUUCUUAACAGCCCUAUCAACAAGGCAGGUCCUACAGGUCCUAGUUUCUACCUUCUUAACAACACUAUCAACAAGGCAGGUCCUACAGGCCCUAGUUUCUACCUUCUUAACAGCCCUAUCAACAAGGCAGGUCCUACAGGUCCUAGUUUCUACCUUCUUAACAACACUAUCAACAAGGCAGGUCCUACAGGUCCUAGUUUCUACCUUCUUAACAACACUAUCAACAAGGCAGGUCCUACAGGCCCUAGUUUCUACCUUCUUAACAACACUAUCAACAAGGCAGGUCCUACAGGCCCUAGUUUCUACCUUCUUAACAACACUAUCAACAAGGCAGGUCCUACAGGUCCUAGUUUCUACCUUCUUAACAACACUAUCAACAAGGCAGGUCCUACAGGUCCUAGUUUCUACCUUCUUAACAACACUAUCAACAAGGCUGGUCCUACAGACCCUAGUUUCUACCUUCUUAACAGCACUAUCAACAAGGCAGGUCCUACAGGCCCUAGUUUCUACCUUCUUAACAACACUAUCAACAAGGCAGGUCCUACAGGCCCUAGUUUCUACCUUCUUAACAGCACUAUCAACAAGGCAGGUCCUACAGGCCCUAGUUUCUACCUUCUUAACAACACUAUCAACAAGGCAGAUCCUACAGGCCCUAGUUUCUACCUUCUUAACAGCACUAUCAACAAGGCAGAUCCUACAGGCCCUAGUUUCUACCUUCUUAACAGCACUAUCAACAAGGCAGAUCCUACAGGCCCUAGUUUCUACCUUCUUAACAGCACUAUCAACAAGGCAGGUCCUACAGGCCCUAGUUUCUACCUUCUUAACAGCACUAUCAACAAGGCAGAUCCUACAGGCCCUAGUUUCGACGUACCUGGACUACUGUUCAGUCGUCUGGUCAAGUGCCACAAUGAGGUGCCACAACUGGCUCAGAACAGGGCAGCAUAGUAAUCAAACUGCCUUACUGUGUUUGUGA